rnacentral:rRNA from 1 species
AACGAACGCUGGCGGCAUGCCUAACACAUGCAAGUCGAACGAGACCUUCGUAACUGCUUGCGCACACGUGCGUCACGCGUCGGACCCUGCCCUUAUGCACGGAAUACCUCCCCGUCAGGGGUGCUAAUGCCGGGUAAUUUCUGCUAACCAAGCAUACAUCGCCUUUGGGUGGGCACGCGUUGUUUGAACUUGGUGGUAUGGUAAAAGCCUACCACGGCGUCGCUCCAUAGCUGGUCAGAGAGGAUGAUCAGCCACACUGGGACUGAGACACGGCGCAGAAUCUUACGGGAGGGAGCAGUGGGGAAUACUGGAAAAUGGGCGAGAGCCUGAUCCAGCAAUGCCGCGUGAGUGAUGAAGGUCUUAGAGUUGUAAAGCUCGUUUACCCGGGAUUAUAAUGACAGUACCGGGAGAAUAAGCUCCGGCUAACUUCGUG